UACAGAGGGUGCAAGCGUUGUUCGGAAUCAUUGGGCGUAAAGGGUGUGUAGGUGGCGCCGUAAGUCGGGUGUGAAAUUUCGGAGCUUAACUCCGAAUCUGCAUUCGAUACUGCGGUGCUUGAGGACUGGAGAGGAGACUGGAAUUCAUGGUGUAGCAGUGAAAUGCGUAGAGAUCAUGAGGAAGACCAGUGGCGAAGGCGGGUCUCUGGACAGUUCCUGACACUGAGACACGAAGGCCAGGGGAGCAAACGGG
rnacentral:rRNA from 1 species